GCGGGGGUGCCGGAGCGGCCAAACGGGCCAGGCUUAGGACCUGGUGGCUUAGUGCCUGCGCGUGUUCGAAUGUCACGUCCCCCGCA
rnacentral:tRNA from 1 species